rnacentral:rRNA from 1 species
CUGCUGCCUUCCGUAGGAGUCUGGUCCGUGUCUCAGUACCAGUGUGGGGGACCUUCCUCUCAGAACCCCUACGCAUCGUCGCCACGGUGGGCCGUUACCCCGCCGUCUAGCAAAUGCGCCGCAUGCCCAUCCUCUUCCGAUGAAUCUUUCCUCGAUCUCGGAUGCCCGAAACCGAUAUACGCGGGAUUAGCCUCCCUUUCGGAAGGUUGUCCCCCUGAAGAGGGCAGGUUGCAUACGUGUUACUCACCCGUGCGCCGGUCGCCGGCGG